rnacentral:rRNA from 1 species
GAUGAACGCUAGCGGCAGGCCUAAUACAUGCAAGUCGAACGAGGUCAUCUCUUUCGGGAGAUGGCUUAGUGGCGCACGGGUGCGUAACGCGUAUGCAACCUACCUUUAACUGGGGGAUAGCCCCGGGAAACCGGGAUUAAUACCGCAUAAUACUAUUUGAGGGCAUCUGAGGAUAGUUAAAGAUUUAUUGGUUAAAGAUGGGCAUGCGUGCCAUUAGCUAGUUGGUAGUGUAACGGACUACCAAGGCUACGAUGGCUAGGGGUUCUGAGAGGAUGAUCCCCCACACUGGUACUGAGAUACGGACCAGACUCCUACGGGAGGCAGCAGUAGGGAAUAUUGGGCAAUGGAGGCAACUCUGACCCAGCCAUGCCGCGUGCAGGAAGAAGGCCUUCUGGGUUGUAAACUGCUUUUAUCUAGGAAGAAAACGCCCAUGCGUGGGCAACUGACGGUACUAGAUGAAUAAGCACCGGCUAACUCCGUGCCAGCAGCCGCGGUAAUAC